GCCAUCUCUUUUCUCUAAGAAACAAAAAGAAGAGAGAUUCAAGAUGGUGGAGUCGAGGAAGGCUGCAUUCCUAGCUGCUCCGCAGCUCAGGAUUCAAGCAGCUGGAGUGCUGCUUCUCAGCAAGGAGUCAGGAUCGGGGUGUUCCAUGGAGUCGAAGAAUGAGCACCGAAUAAGCAAGCUAGAGUGCCGUUUAAGUCCUACAGCUCUCCUCCUUUAAAGGCAGAUGUGAAAAUUGAGGAACAUAAAGGCUAAAUAAUUUUCCUGAAGUGACCUAUCUGGUACAGACUUAGGUUCCAUGGAUUCUGUUUCCCACCAUGUAUCCAGCACCUAGCAUGGUUUCCAGCAUGGAGCAUGCACUUAGCAAGUAUUUGCCCAACAUUAAGUAGGUUUCCCUUCUCAGAUUCCUAUAAACUUGAUCACAGAGCAUUCCGUACAUAUAUUUGCCUUUUCAUCCUAUUAAAAAAUUUGUACAGUAAAAUAUACCCAUUUUGGUGUACAGGUUUAUGAGUUAUAACAAAAGUAGAAAAUUAUAAAAUCACUAUCACAAUCAAGAUAUAGAAUAGUUCAUCUCUUUACCCAAAAUUCCCUCUUGCUAAAGCUUUGGAGUCAAAUUUUACCCCCAAACUCAAUAUUUGGCAACCACUGAGAAUUUUUUAUUUUACAUUACCCUGAACUCUUUUUUCCGUUUCUAUCCUGCUUUGUCUAUUUUUCAACUGUCUUACUGCUUGCUUAGCAGUAUUCCUGAAUACUGUAUCCGAGAAGUGAAACAGAAUUUAGACGGUUGCCUUACUUAUUUGUGCACCACAUAGAAUCAUUUGAGCAAGUAAUAUGAAUACCUGGAAGAAUGAGAUGAGGAUCAUAAGGUCACCUAGGUUUUUGUUCAAAGCCUACUAUCUCUCCACUUUUAAGAGCUCAGAUCUGUAUGCAUCACUAUUUCACUACCCCUGUUUAAUUCAUGCUUCAUGAUCUUGUCCAGUACCCUGCAAUGGACUUCAUACUGUUUUCCAUGUAUCUAAUUUUUCUUUUCUUAUAUUCAAUCUCUACAUUUCACCCAGAGUGAAGUUUCUAAAAUUGUGAGGCUUUUUAAAGUUCUCCAUUGAGAUUUAGCAUCUUAACAUAUAGUUCACAGCUCUUCAUGAGGCCCCUUCUUUCUUCUCCAGACCUAUUUUUAUUGGAUCAUGGCCUUUGCACUCUAUAAUACUGUUCUGGCAGUCCAGAGUUAUUUGAUAAUUUCCAAUAGUGCCUGAGUGCCUUUGUUCAUGCUGCCCUGAAAGUCUUCCCUUUCUUUAUCUGCCAAUGCACCUGCACAUUAUUGAAGAUGAAUACUUAACUGUUAUCUCCUGCUUUCUGACAAUUCCCUCUUUUGUCUCCAAACUUACCUGCCCACCCACCUGCCAUAGCACCUAUAAUUCCUUACAACAUACGAUGCUCAUGUAUUGAUUUCCUAAUUAAUAGAAACAAAGCCCUU